CGGACACAUAUCUCAGGUCCCAUUCGUUUUCUUUAAUAAAAUACUAUUAUCAUAACCCCUAUUAAGCGGACACCCCUCUUUAACGGACGCGGACACCUUACUUGAGGUCCCAAUGGGCAAACCAACCUCUCUUAAGCGGACAGAUGACAGAUUGUCUGAUAAAAUGUAUUCAAUAUUCGACAGUAAAUAACAAUUGAGAUCAAUUUACAUGGCACAUUGACAGUGACA